AUGGUGGAGGAGCCCGCGGAAGAAGCGGCUCGGGGGGGAAGCGAACCCCCGCUCAUGGAAGUGAGCGAAGGAGACGACGUAGCCGGGGGGAGGCGACGGAACUUGCUCCGUCCCCGGCAGCUCCCACUCGCCCGCCGCCAUCCUCUCGCAGAGGAGAACCUUCCGCACCAGGCCCUCGGCGCGCGAGGAGGUGAAAUGAGAAACCCCCCAGGAACCCAUCGCCGGAGGAGGGAGGAGAUCGACGGUGACAGGAAGAAGAGCGCGCGGCUUGGAGCGAAGGAAACGAGGCGAGCGCGGAUGAACUGAGCGUGAGGCUGGAA
rnacentral:lncRNA from 1 species